rnacentral:rRNA from 1 species
UACGGGGGGGGCAAGCGUUGUCCGGAUUUAUUGGGCGUAAAGCGCUCGCAGGUGGUUCGCUGCGUCGUGCGGUGAAAGACCUCGGCUCAACUGGGGGAUGAUCGUGCGAUACGGGCGGACUGGAGGCCAGUAGGGGGAGUGCGGAAUUCCGGGUGAGUGGUGGAAUGCGUAGAGGAUCCGGAGGAACACCAGCGGCGAAGGCGGCAUCCUGGACUGGUCCUGACACUCAGGAGCGGAAAGCGUGGGGAGCCGAACGAGGGAAUUGAAGAAACCCCGAGG